UCUACUAAGCCUGAGCUGAGCGAACAAUCAAACCUGCAAAGCUAUGGCUUUUCCUUCUGCACUCUCCUCUUCUUCUUCUUCCCUUUCUUUAUCUGCUUCAGCUACCACCAAACAUGGCAUUUUCUCACCAUCCUCCCGUUCUGCAUUUCGCUUCUUCUACCCACCGCCCACUCUCAAGGCUUGUGCCCAGUUCCGUAUCUACUGCCGCAACCCUCUUCCUUCAAAACCCACUUCUAAGGUCAGCCUUCCUUCUUCACUACUUUGUUUCCUUAGUCUCUAUUGCAUUUUCGUGUUAUAUAUUUUGGUCAAUGUUACAAAGAUUGGAAAACAUUAUAAUCUUGCAGCAGUUGUGCAGGAUAAGGACAAGGAUGAGGACAAAAGGCUUGAUUUCUCAGCUUCUGAACAUAGAAGCAAGAAUGUAGUAGAAGGGGCCGUAGCUGCUUUUCUUAUGUUUGUUCAGAUAUCUUCACCUUUACCUUUGUUUGGGUGGGAGC
rnacentral:lncRNA from 1 species